GACGAAGGGGGCUAGCGUUGUUCGGAAUUACUGGGCGUAAAGCGCGUGUAGGCGGUCGCCCAAGUCGGGUGUGAAAGCCUUGAGCUCAACUCAAGAAAUGCACUCGGUACUGGGUGACUAGAGGACCGAAGAGGAUAGUGGAAUUCCCAGUGUAGUGGUGAAAUACGUAGAGAUUGGGAAGAACACCAGUGGCGAAGGCGGCUAUCUGGACGGUUUCUGACGCUAAGACGCGAAAGCGUGGGGAGCAAACAGG
rnacentral:rRNA from 1 species